GUCGAGUCAAUCCACUCCACUCGUUGUCUAUCUUAUGGUUUGAAAAAUAUCAUCUAUAAAUUUCGAUAACAUUUAUAUGUAUGAAUAAUCUCUUCUCAAAUCGUUAUCAGUGCUUGGAUUUCUUUUCUGUUUCAAUCUGGUAAUUUCUUGUGUUUGCUGUUCUCAUUUCUCAGGUAUCAUUCCAGAUCGUAUUAAAUUUUUGUUUCAUCAUCUUCCUGUUUCAAUUUUCAGAAUCAAGUAAUCUUUUCAAAAUUCAUUUUUAAUUUCUGCUGUAAACUGUAAAUGUAUUUUCUAUCGUUGUAUACAAAUCUAUUCUACAAAUCUAUUGAAUUCAAGUCCGUUUCAAUUUGUUUAGUUUAGUUAACUUUCUUUAGACAAUUUGUUUCAAUUUCUUUAAAUCAAUGUUUUUUUAAAAGUUUCUUUUGAAAAUCAAUUCUCUGUUAGUUUUCCAUUGUUUCUUUAGCUUCUUCUUGAAAUCAAUUUCAUACAGGAGUUUCUGUCUCAAAUAGUUUAAUAAAUCAUUUUCAUAAUUCCAUUGAUUCUUAGUUUCAUCUUGAAAUCAAUUUCAUACAGAAAUUCUGUUUCAAACAGAUUUAGAACUAAUGUUUGUCAUUUUAUUAUGUUCAAAUUUCUGUUAUUUCAUUCUUCUUUCAAGUAAAUAAAUAAACAAGUUUCUAUUGUGUUCUUGUGUGAUUUGGUUGCUGCCUUAUCUUAUAGUAAUCAUACAGUCUAAGAAAUAAAUUCU
rnacentral:lncRNA from 1 species